UACGUAGGGUGCGAGCGUUGUCCGGAAUUAUUGGGCGUAAAGAGCUCGUAGGCGGUUUGUCACGUCGGGAGUGAAAACACGGGGCUUAACCCCGUGCCUGCUUCCGAUACGGGCAGACUAGAGGUAUGCAGGGGAGAACGGAAUUCCUGGUGUAGCGGUGAAAUGCGCAGAUAUCAGGAGGAACACCGGUGGCGAAGGCGGUUCUCUGGGCAUUACCUGACGCUGAGGAGCGAAAGUGUGGGGAGCGAACAGG
rnacentral:rRNA from 1 species